UCCAUGAUCCUAUGCUGCCGAGAAAAGCCUCUAGCGAGUUGGUUCACGGCCCGUACCCCAAACCGACACAGGUGGUCAGGUAGAGAAUACUAAGGCGAUCGAGAGAACUGUGGUUAAGGAACUCGGCAAAAUGCCCCCGUAACUUCGGAGAAGGGGGACCACGCCUGGUGACCCGCAUAUCGUGGUGAGCUGGGGGUGGUCGCAGAGACCAGAGAGAAGCGACUGUUUACUAAAAACACAGGUCCGUGCGAAGUCGUAAGACGAUGUAUACGGACUGACGCCUCCCCGGUGCUGGAAGGUUAAGAGGACCGGUUAAUCAUCUUUUGUGGGUGGUGAAGCUGAGAAUUUAAGCCCCAGUAAACGGCGGUGGUAACUAUAACCAUCCUAAGGUAGCGAAAUUCCUUGUCGGGUAAGUUCCGACCUGCACGAAUGGCGUAACGACUUCUCUGCUGUCUCAACCACAGACUCGGCGAAAUUGCAGUACGAGUAAAGAUGCUCGUUACGCGCGGCAGGACGAAAAGACCCCGGGACCUUCACUAUAGCUUGGUAUUGGUGUUCGGUUCGGUUUGUGUAGGAUAGGUGGGAGACUGUGAUGCCGUCACGCUAGUGGUGGUGGAGUCGUUGUUGAAAUACCACUCUGAUCGUAUUGGACUUCUAACCUCGGGCCAUGAUCUGGUUCAGGGACAGUGCCUGGUGGGUAGUUUAACUGGGGCGGUUGCCUCCUAAAAUGUAACGGAGGCGCCCAAAGGUUCCCUCAGCCUGGUUGGCAAUCAGGUGGUGAGUGUAAGUGCACAAGGGAGCUUGACUGUGAGACGUACGUGUCGAGCAGGGACGAAAGUCGGGACUAGUGAUCCGGCACCGGCAUGUGGAAGCGGUGUCGCUCAACGGAUAAAAGGUACCCCGGGGAUAACAGGCUGAUCUUCCCCAAGAGUCCAUAUCGACGGGAUGGUUUGGCACCUCGAUGUCGGCUCGUCGCAUCCUGGGGCUGGAGUAGGUCCCAAGGGUUGGGCUGUUCGCCCAUUAAAGCGGCACGCGAGCUGGGUUUAGAACGUCGUGAGACAGUUCGGUCUCUAUCCGCCGCGCGCGUAAGAAACUUGAGGAAUCCUGUCCCUACUACGAGAGGACCGGGACGGACGGACCUCUGGUGUGCCAGUUGUACCGCCAGGUGCACGGCUGGUUGGCUACGUUCGGAAGGGAUAACCGCUGAGAGCAUCUAAGCGGGAAGCCUGUUCCAAGAUGAGGUUUCUCCCCCCCUUUGCGGGGUUAAGGCCCCCUACAGACCAUGGGGUUGAUAGGCCAGAAUUGUACGCACAGUAAUGUGUUGAGGUGACUGGUACUAAUCGGCCGAGAGGCC
rnacentral:rRNA from 1 species